rnacentral:lncRNA from 1 species
GGACAUCUGAAACUUGUGACGCAGCAGUGUGUUACCUGCCGACAGCAUAAUGUGAGGCAAGGUCUAGCUGUUCCCCCCCGGCAUACAAGCUUAUAGAGCAGCCUCCUUUGAAGAUCUCCAGGUGGACUUCACAGAGAUGCCAAAGUGUGGAGGUGUUCGAGUGUGGAUCAAGGACUGGAACGUAGCCUCUUUGUGCCCAUGGUGGAAAGGACCCCAGACUGUCGUCCUGAUCACUCCCACUGCUGUGAACGUAGAGAGAAUCCUAGCCUGGAUCCAUCACAACCGUGUAAAACCUGCAGCGCCUGAAUCCUGGGAGGCAAGACCAAGUCUGGACAACCCCUGCAGAGUGACCCUGAAGAAGAUGACAAGCCCUGCUCCAGUCACACCCAGAAGCUGACUGGUCCACGCACAGCCGAAGCAUGAGGAAGCUCAUUGUGGGCUUCAUUUUUCUUAAAUUUUGGACUUACAGUAAGGGCUUCAACUGUUCUUACUCAAACUGGGGACUAUUCCCAGUGUAUUCAUCAGGUCAGUGAGGUAGGACAGCAAAUGAAAACAAUCUUUCUGUUCUAUAGUUAUUAUCAAUGUAUGGGAACGUUAAAAGAGACUUGUUUGUAUAAUGCCACUCAGUACAAGGUAUGUAGCCCAGGAAAUGACUGACCUGAUGUGUGUUAUAACCCAUCUGAGCCCCCUACAACCACCAGUUUUGAAAUAAGAUUAAGAACUGGCCUUUUCCUAGGUGAUACAAGUGAAAUAAUAACUAGAACAGAAGAAAAAGGAAUCCCCAAACAAGUAACUUUAAGAUUUGACGCUUGUGCAGCCAUUAAUAGUAACAAGCUAGGAACAGGAUGUGGUUCUCUUAACUGGGAAAGGAGCUACAGAGUAGAAAAUAAAUAUGUUUGUCAUGAGUCAGGGGUUUGUGAAAAUUGUGCCUUUUGGCCAUGUGUUAUUUAGGCUACUUGGAAAAAGAACAAAAAGGACUUGGUUCAUCUUCAGAAAGGGGAAGCCAACCCCUCCUGUGCUGCCAGUCACUGUAACCCACUAGAACUAAUAAUUACCAAUCCCCUAGAUCCCCAUUGGAAAAAGGGAGAAUGUGUAACCCUGGGGAUCAAAGGGACAGGGUUAAACCCCCAAGUUGCCAUUUUAGUUCAAGGGGAGGUCCACAAGCACUCUCCCAAACCAGUGUUUCAAACCUUUUAUGAGGAGUUAAAUCUGCCAGCACCAGAACUUCUGAAAAAGAUAAAAAAUUUGUUUCUCCAAUUAGCAGAAAAUGUAGCUCAUUCCCUUAAUGUUACUUCUUGUUAUAUAUGCGGGGGAACCACUAUCAGAGACCGAUGGCCUUGGGAAGCCUGAGAGUUGGUGCCCACUGAUCCAGCUCCUGAUAUAAUGGGGGCUUGUCCAGGAUCUCAUCAGGACUGGAUGGCUCUCGCUGGACUAUACUGGAUAUGUGGGCAGAGAGCCUACAUUCAGUUACCUAAUGAAUGGGCAGACAGUUGUGUUAUUGGCACUAUUAAGCCAUCCUUUUUCUUAUUACCGAUAAAAACUACUGGUACUAUCUGUAAAUUCCAGACAUUGUAUGAGAAAGCACUGUAAAACUUUUUGUUCUGUUAGCUGAUAUAUGUAGCCUCCAGUCACAUUCCUCAUGCUUACUUGAUCUAUCAUGACCCUUUCACGUGGACCCCUUAGAGUUGUAAGCCCUUAAAAGGGCUAGGAAUUUCUUUUUGGGGGAGCUUGGCUCUUAAGACAUGAGUCUGCCAAUGCUACCGGCCAAAUAAAAACCUCUUCCUUCUUUAA